rnacentral:rRNA from 1 species
AUGAACGCUGGCGGCGUGCUUAACACAUGCAAGUCGAACGGAAAGGCUCCUGCUUGCAGGGGUACUCGAGUGGCGAACGGGUGAGUAACACGUGGGUGAUCUGCCCUGCACUUCGGGAUAAGCCUGGGAAACUGGGUCUAAUACCGGAUAGGACGAUGGUUUGGAUGCCAUUGUGGAAAGUUUUUUCGGUGUGGGCUGAGCUCGCGGCCUAUCAGCUUGUUGGUGGGGUAAUGGCCUACCAAGGCGUCGACGGGUAGCCGGCCUGAGAGGGUGUACGGCCACAUUGGGACUGAGAUACGGCCCAGACUCCUACGGGAGGCAGAAGUGGGGAAUAUUGCACAAUGGGCGCAAGCCUGAUGCAGCGACGCCGCGUGGGGGAUGACGGCCUUCGGGUUGUAAACUCCUUUCGCUAGGGACGAAGCGCAAGUGACGGUACCUGGAGAAGAAGCACCGGCUAACUACGUG